UUUUAUAAUAAGUAUUUUCUGCCCGGUGAUUUUAAACGGCCGCGGUACUCUGACCGUGCAAAGGUAGCAUAAUCACUUGCCCUUUGAUUGGGGGCUAGAAUGAAGGAAAUCACGAGACUUCAGCUGUCUCUUUUUUUUGUUUGGAAUUUGCUGUUUUUGUGAAGAAGCAAAGGUGGUAAAAAAAGACAAGAAGACCCUAUUAAGCUUUAUUAAUUAGGCCGUAGGUUUUUUUUUUAAAACAUAUAAUUAUGGUUUUUUAAUUUGGUUGGGGUGACCAAAAAAGAAAAGAAUCUUUUUUAUUCGAAUAAACUGUGUGUUUAAAAAAGAUCCGGGAGUUCCGAUUACAAGAACAAGUUACUAUAGGGAUAACAGCGUAAUUUUUUCAGAGAGUUCAUAUUUAAGAAAAAGAUUGCGACCUCGAUGUUGACUUAUUGUUACCUAAAAAGGUGUAGCAGCUGAGAAGGUUGGUCUGUUCG
rnacentral:rRNA from 1 species